rnacentral:rRNA from 1 species
AAUCAACGCUGGCGGCGUGCCUAACACAUGCAAGUCGAACGCGAAAGCCCCUUCGGGGGCAAGUAGAGUGGCGUCCGGGUGAGUAACACGUGGGUAAUCUACCUCCGGGUGGGGAAUAACUCGCCGAAAGGCGGGCUAAUACCGCAUAAUGCAGCGGCACCGAAUGGUGAUUAGUUGUUAAAGCGGGGGACCUUAGGGCCUCGCGUCUGGAGAGGAGCCUGCGGCAGAUUAGCUUGUUGGUAGGGAAUGGCCUACCAAGGCUGCGAUCUGUAGCUGGUCUGAGAGGACGGCCAGCCACACUGGCACUGACACACGGGCCAGACUCCUACGGGAGGCAGCAGUGGGAAUUUUGGGCAAUGGGCGAAAGCCUGACCCAGCAACGCCGCGUGAAGGAGGAAAUCCUUCGGGAUGUAAACUUCACAAGCAAGGGAAGAGCGCGCAGGGUCGAAUAAACUCUGCGUCCGACGGUACCUUGCGU